rnacentral:rRNA from 1 species
GGGUUGUGAGGUUAAGCGACUAAGCGUACACGGUGGAUGCCCUGGCAGUCAGAGGCGAUGAAGGGCGUGCUAAUCUGCGAUAAGCGCCGGUAAGGUGAUAUGAACCGUUAUAACCGGCGAUACCCGAAUGGGGAAACCCAGUGUGAUUCGUCACACUAUCAUUACGUGAAUACAUAGCGUAAUGAAGCGAACCGGGGGAACUGAAACAUCUAAGUACCCCGAGGAAAAGAAAUCAACCGAGAUUCCCCCAGUAGCGGCGAGCGAACGGGGAGGAGCCCAGAGCCUGAAUCAGCAUGUGUGUUAGUGGAAGCGUCUGGAAAGGCGCGCGAUACAGGGUGACAGCCCC